rnacentral:rRNA from 1 species
UACGUAGGGGGCUAGCGUUGUCCGGAAUCAUUGGGCGUAAAGAGCGUGUAGGCGGUCCGGUAAGUCCGCUGUGAAAGUCGGGGGCUCAACCCUCGAAUGCCGGUGGAAACUGUCGGGCUGGAGUCCGGAAGAGGCGAGUGGAAUUCCUGGUGUAGCGGUGAAAUGCUUAGAUAUCGUCAAGAACACCGAUAGUGAAGACAGCUUACUAGGCUACAACUGACGCUGAGGCACGAAAGUGUGGGGAUCAAACAGG